rnacentral:rRNA from 1 species
GACGACCGCUGGCGGCGUGCCUAAUACAUGCAAGUAGGACGCAGUUGCGAACGGGUGCGUAAUGCGUAGGUAACUACCUAUUAGAGGGGGAUAACUAUUGGAAACGAUAGCUAAUACCGCAUACUAGUAGAUGGACCUGCGUUGUAUUAGCUAGUAGGUAGGGUAAUGGCCUACCUAGGCAACGAUACAUAGCCGACCUGAGAGGGUGGUCGGCCACACUGGGGCUGAGAAACGGCCCAGAAUCCUACGGGGGGGAGAAGUAGGGAAACUUCGGGAAUGGGGGGAACCCUGAACGAGCAACGCCCGCUGAGUGAAGAAGGUUUUCGGAUCGUAAAGCUCUGUUGUUAAGGAAGCGGUACUUAACCAGAAAGGGACGGCUAACUACGUGCCAGCCGCCGCGGUAAUUC